UCGAGCGGUAGAGAGAAGCUUGCUUCUCUUGAGAGCGGCGGACGGGUGAGUAAUGCCUAGGAAUCUGCCUGGUAGUGGGGGAUAACGUUCGGAAACGGACGCUAAUACCGCAUACGUCCUACGGGAGAAAGCAGGGGACCUUCGGGCCUUGCGCUAUCAGAUGAGCCUAGGUCGGAUUAGCUAGUUGGUGGGGUAAUGGCUCACCAAGGCGACGAUCCGUAACUGGUCUGAGAGGAUGAUCAGUCACACUGGAACUGAGACACGGUCCAGACUCCUACGGGAGGCAGCAGUGGGGAAUAUUGGACAAUGGGCGAAAGCCUGAUCCAGCCAUGCCGCGUGUGUGAAGAAGGUCUUCGGAUUGUAAAGCACUUUAAGUUGGGAGGAAGGGUUGUAGAUUAAUACACUGCAAUUUUGACGUUACCGACAGAAUAAGCACCGGCUAACUCUGUGCCAGCAGCCGCGGUAAUACAGAGGGUGCAAGCGUUAAUCGGAAUUACUGGGCGUAAAGCGCGCGUAGGUGGUUUGUUAAGUUGGAUGUGAAAUCCCCGGGCUCAACCUGGGAACUGCAUUCAAAACUGACUGACUAGAGUAUGGUAGAGGGUGGUGGAAUUUCCUGUGUAGCGGUGAAAUGCGUAGAUAUAGGAAGGAACACCAGUGGCGAAGGCGACCACCUGGACUAAUACUGACACUGAGGUGCGAAAGCGUGGGGAGCAAACAGGAUUAGAUACCCUGGUAGUCCACGCCGUANACGAUGUCAACUAGCCGUUGGAANCCUUGAGCUUUUAGUGGCGCAGCUAACGCAUUAAGUUGACCGCCUGGGGAGUACGGCCGCAAGGUU
rnacentral:rRNA from 1 species